CCUACGGGAGGCAGCAGUCGAGAAUCAUUCACAAUGGGGGAAACCCUGAUGGUGCGACGCCGCGUGGGGGAAUGAAGGUCUUCGGAUUGUAAACCCCUGUCAUGUGGGAGCAAAUUAAAAAGAUAGUACCACAAGAGGAAGAGACGGCUAACUCUGUGCCAGCAGCCGCGGUAAUACAGAGGUCUCAAGCGUUGUUCGGAAUCACUGGGCGUAAAGGGUGCGUAGGCUGUUUCGUAAGUCGUGUGUGAAAGGCGCGGGCUCAACCCGCGGACGGCACAUGAUACUGCGAGACUAGAGUAAUGGAGGGGGAACCGGAAGUCUCGGUGUAGCAGUGAAAUGCGUAGAUAUCGAGAGGAACACUCGUGGCGAAGGCGGGUUCCUGGACAUUAACUGACGCUGAGGCACGAAGGCCAGGGGAGCGAAAGGGAUUAGAUACCCCAGUAGUC
rnacentral:rRNA from 1 species